UGCUCCAUGGCUGAGUUGGUUACAGCGUCCGACUGUUAAGUCGAAGACAAGUCUCUACUUUCUAUGUUGGGAAAAAGUCUUCACUUGCCAUAAUCGGAAGGCCCUGAGUUCGAUCCUCAGUGGAGCAG